rnacentral:misc_RNA from 1 species
GAUGAAGAACGUAGCGAAGUGCGAUAAGUAAUGUGAAUUGCAGAAUUCCGUGAAUCAUCGAAUCUUUGAACGCAAAUUGCACUUUCUGGUAUUCCGGAGAGUAUGCCUGUUUGAGGGUCAGUGUAAUAAAAAUAAAUCGUGGUUACCACUUUUCGUGGUGACGCUUCGGAAUUGAGUCGUCUUACCUUCGGUUAAGUGACUUAAAAUUUUUUCAUACGAUUUCGAAACGUAUUUAAUGUAUUAUGUAUGUUCACGAAUAUCGAAUGUUUAUUAGGUGCGGUCAUUUUCAUGAAUUCGCGUCUAUAAUUUUUUUUUUUUUUGACCUCAAAUCAGGUAAGAAUACCCGCUGAACUUAAGCAUAUCAAUAAGCGGAGGA